rnacentral:rRNA from 1 species
CCUACGGGGUGCAGCAGUGGGGAAUAUUGGACAAUGGGCGAAAGCCUGAUCCAGCCAUGCCGCGUGUGUGAAGAAGGCCUUCGGGUUGUAAAGCACUUUCAGUGGGGAAGAAAGCCUUGGGGUUAAUACCCUCGAGGAAGGACAUCACCCACAGAAGAAGCACCGGCUAACUCCGUGCCAGCAGCCGCGGUAAUACGGAGGGUGCGAGCGUUAAUCGGAAUUACUGGGCGUAAAGCGCGCGUAGGCGGUCUGAUAAGCCGGUUGUGAAAGCCCCGGGCUCAACCUGGGAACGGCAUCCGGAACUGUCAGGCUAGAGUGCAGGAGAGGAAGGUAGAAUUCCCGGUGUAGCGGUGAAAUGCGUAGAGAUCGGGAGGAAUACCAGUGGCGAAGGCGGCCUUCUGGACUGACACUGACGCUGAGGUGCGAAAGCGUGGGUAGCAAACAGGAUUAGAUACCCGUGUAGUC